rnacentral:lncRNA from 10 species
AGGCAGUGUGCUUCACGAUUUACAGAGAUGGGAUUUUGCCAGAGAGAGGCAUUUUCUUGCUUCAUAAAGAAGGAUGGACCAUUCAUCUGGUUCUAGUGAAUAAGCUGUAAUUCACCAGGGAUCCUUCUGUUAUCCAGCAGCCCAAUUUAUUGCUUUGCUGAGUGCAGGGCUGAGAAGCCGAAGGACACAAAGCUCUCAUCUACGGGAUUAGGAUCAGAUGCCUAAGUGUGAACUCUCCAAGCCUCAUGUGUUGUUGCCAUGGCAGUUCUACUCAAGAGACCUUUUCGGACAGAAAAGAAGAGUACUUGCUCUGGAGGGAACUUGAAUCCUUGUGCCAGUUCCCCGAGGCCAGCGGCUGGUGCGGGAGGCCGCUUCUGAGUAGAGGAGAAAGUUGCCUGUUGAACAUUCAGUCGGCACCAAGGCAGGCAGGUGGUUUUAAGAGAAAAUCUUCUCAAAGGCAGAUGAGCCCUUGUCUUUACAAUCAACAUAUUUAAUUUUAGUGGCAAAUUUAUCCUAAUUACAUUAAUAAUGGGCCCCUUUACUCUUGUAGGAUAUAAAUUGGACAUGAUAGUAUUGAGUUCAUAGGGUUGUGAUGGGAAUUUAAUGAGAUUAUGUGGGUUAUACCUAUCUACAUUGACUUAGAAAUUAUUUUCUCAGAAAUUAAAACAGGAUAAUUUAUUAAUAUAUUUAAAACCAAUAAUUAUAAGCCUGUUGCAUGUAAACAGUCAUAAUAUCUAUUUUUUAUGGAAAAUAAUUAUAUCUUUUGAAACAAAAUCAGUGAUGAGUGACUAUUAUGUUUUUAUGAUGUCUAGCUUAACAGGAGACAGCUGGAUUCUUGUAGCUGCCCCUGCCUUUAAUCUGCCAUGAUCGUUCUGGCUGAAGUAUAUGGAGAAAAUUCAACCCCAUAUAGAUGAGUAGUUGGAAAAGGGAGAGUUAAUAACCUUUUCCUGUGAUUGUGGAUGUUUUCCUUAUCUGUACCAAAACUAGACAAGUGAUAGCUUCUUAAUGAUUAAUUGCAACAUGAAAUCUGAG